CCGCCCGUCGCUCCUACCGAUUGAAUGGUCCGGUGAAGUGUUCGGAUCGCGGCGACGGGGGCGGUUCGCCGCCCCCGACAUCGCGAGAAGUCCAUUGAACCUUAUCAUUUAGAGGAAGGAGAAGUCGUAACAAGGUUUCCGUAGGUGAACCUGCGGAAG
rnacentral:rRNA from 1 species